AGUGAACGCUGGCGGUAGACCUAACACAUGCAAGUCGAACGGCAGCACAGUAAGAGCUUGCUCUUACGGGUGGCGAGUGGCGGACGGGUGAGGAAUACAUCGGAAUCUACUUUUUCGUGGGGGAUAACGUAGGGAAACUUACGCUAAUACCGCAUACGACCUACGGGUGAAAGCAGGGGAUCUUCGGACCUUGCGCGAUUGAAUGAGCCGAUGUCGGAUUAGCUAGUUGGCGGGGUAAAGGCCCACCAAGGCGACGAUCCGUAGCUGGUCUGAGAGGAUGAUCAGCCACACUGGAACUGAGACACGGUCCAGACUCCUACGGGAGGCAGCAGUGGGGAAUAUUGGACAAUGGGCGCAAGCCUGAUCCAGCCAUACCGCGUGGGUGAAGAAGGCCUUCGGGUUGUAAAGCCCUUUUGUUGGGAAAGAAAAGCAGCAGGUUAAUACCCCGCUGUUCUGACGGUACCCAAAGAAUAAGCACCGGCUAACUUCAUG
rnacentral:rRNA from 1 species